rnacentral:rRNA from 1 species
GACGAACGCUGACAGAAUGCCUAACACAUGCAAGUCGAGGGGGAAGUGGUGCUUGCACCAUGGUCACCAUGGCGGACGGGUGAGUAACACGUAAGGAACUUACCUGCGGGACCGGGAUAACAGCAGGAAACUGCUGACAAGAACGGCCAAGGUCAUUAAGCUGCAUAGCUUAUUGAUGAAAGGAGACGCCUGCGGAGGGCCUUGCGUCCUAUUCGCUAGUUGGAGGGUUAACGGCCCACCAAGGCGAGGCUAGGUAGCCGGCCGGAGAGGGUGCACGGCCACAAGGGGACGGGGGGACGGACCAGAGACCUACGGGAGGCAGCAGUAAGGAAGAUUGGACAAUGGGGGGAGACCGGAUCCAGCUAUUCGGUGUGCACGAAGUCGUUGUUCGGAUGGUAGAGGGCUUUCAUCAAAAGAGAAGGAAGUGACGGUACCUGCAGAAAAAGCGACGGCUAAAUACGUG